UAGACAGAACUACUGUGUUAGCAAUGAUGGAUGGUGGAAUGAUGUCUGUGUUUCUGUGUGUCCGCACCAGAGAAGGAAAUGGUCUGGCAGUAUCCCGUGCUGGUCGUGGGGACAAUUCUGGUCUUUCUUGGGCUCGUGCUCUGCGUCAGGAACCUGUUCGCAAACCCAGACAAGUGUCUCUGCUGGAGUGUAAACAAAGACCUGGAGCUGCCUGUCGAGGACCCCAAAUUCAACGAACAACGCAGUCAUCAAGACAGCAGCCCGAACACUUUGACAUUUAGCAUAACUGAGGAAACUCCCAUGAUGACUCUCAAUCAGAGUCCAGCCACGCCAGAACAUCCAGCCCACAGCAGUGCUCUAGUACCAGACGGUGAACACAAAGUGCUCUCAGACUCAAAGCGGCAGCCUUUUGAUUUCUGCAUGUUUAGCACACAAUUUAUCAUUGAUCAACCACGUGGCC
rnacentral:lncRNA from 1 species